rnacentral:rRNA from 1 species
GGGGGGGGGGGGGGGGGGGGGGGGGGGGGGGGGGGGGGGGGGGGGGGGGGUGGGGGGGGGGGGGGGCGGGUGGCGAGGGGGGGAGGGGGAGGGAGUAGAGGGGGGUGUGAUGUUGGGAGGGUGGGGACGUAGGGACAAUGCGAGUAAUGCCGGAGACGAUCUUGGUGAGAAAGGAGGGAGUCUUCGGGAACUGAACGACUGAAUGCGACGAUGUCGGAUUAGCGAGGUGGCGGGGUAAAGGCACACCAAGGCGCCGAUCCGUAGCUGGUCUGAGAGGAUGAUCAGCCACACUGGAACUGAGACACGGUCCAGACUCCUACGGGAGGCAGCAGUGGGGAAUAUUGGACAAUGGGCGCAAGCCUGAUCCAGCCAUACCGCGUGGGUGAAGAAGGCCUUCGGGUUGUAAAGCCCUUUUGUUGGGAAAGAAAAGCAGCAGGUUAAUACCCCGCUGUUCUGACGGUACCCAAAGAAUAAGCACCGGCUAACUUCGUG